CGUGAGUGAUGAAGGCUUUCGGGUCGUAAAGCUCUGUCAAGUGGGAAGAACCUGCAGUAUGCUAAUAUCAUAUUGCACUGACGGUACCACUGAAGGAAGCACCGGCUAACUCCGUGCCAGCAGCCGCGGUAAUACGGGGGGUGCAAGCGUUAUUCGGAAUCAUUGGGCGUAAAGAGCACGUAGGCGGCUUGGUAAGUCAGAUGUGAAAGCCCUGGGCUUAACCCGGGAAGUGCAUUUGAUACUGCCAGGCUUGAGUAUGGGAGAGGGAAGUGGAAUUCCUGGUGUAGAGGUGAAAUUCGUAGAUAUCAGGAGGAACACCGGUGGCGAAGGCGACUUCCUGGACCAAUACUGACGCUGAGGUGCGAAGGCGUGGGUAGCAAACAGGAUUAGAUACCCUGGUAGUCCACGCAGUAAACGUUGUUCACUAGGUGUAGCGGGUAUUGACCCCUGCUGUGCCGCAGUUAACGCAUUAA
rnacentral:rRNA from 1 species